rnacentral:rRNA from 1 species
AUGGCUGGANUCCCCGAGAGAUUGGGGAGUGCUCGAAAGAGANCCAAGUACACAGGUGCUGCAUGNCUGUNGGUCAAGCUCAGUGUCGUGAGAUGUUGGGUUAAGUCCCGCAACGAGCGCAACCCUUGUCAUUAGUUGCUACGAAAGGGCACUCUAAUGAGNCUGCCGGUGNCAANCCGGAGGAAGGUGGGGAUGNCGUCAAGUCCUCAUGGCCCUUAUGGGUAGGGCUUCACNCAGUCAUACAAUGGUACAUACAGAGCGCCGGCCAACCCGCGAGGGGGAGCUAAUCGCAGAAAGUGUAUCGUAGUCCGGAUUGUAGUCUGCAACUCGACUGCAUGAAGUUGGAAUCGCUAGUAAUCGCGGAUCAGCAUGUCGCGGUGAAUNCGUUCCCGGGUCUUGUACACNCCGCCCGUCNCACCAUGNNAGCGGGUUUUACCAGAAGUAGGUAGCUUAGCCGNAAGGAGGGCGCUUNCCACGGUAGGAUUCNUGCCUGGGGUGA